rnacentral:rRNA from 1 species
CUGGGAAGAGCUCAUGGCGAAAUCCGCCGUCGUUGCGACGGUCCGGAUAUUUCGCGUAUAGGAGAGACGCUUCCGAACGCCGACUCCGGUGUAAGUCCCCCUGACUGGGGCUCCUACCCCGAGAGGGUGCAAGGCCCGUAGCGGCCGGCGUCGGCUUCGGAUGUCCUCUCCGGGGAGUCGGGUUGCUUGAGAGUGCAGCCCCAAUCGGGUGGUAAACUCCAUCUAAGGCUAAAUACGACCCGGAGACCGAUAGCGAACAAGUACCGUGAGGGAAAGUUGAAAAGGACUUUGAAGAGAGAGUUCAAGAGUACGUGAAACCGUUCGAAGGUAAACGAGUGGGCCCUCGAAGCCGUAAGGCGGGGGGACUCAGCCGGGCGCCUCGGGCCCGCCGCCGCACGCGCGCUUCCCCACCGGGACGCGCCGCGGCGGAAGCGGCUCGGGUUCCCGGCGCAUUUCCUCCCGCCCUCGGACGCUGCGACCGGUCGCGCGUGCCACGAGCGGUCGGCCUUACUCGCGGGGACCGGCAGGUAGCGGGGAUAGUGCUUCGGCGCCUUCCCCGUGUUUAGCCACCCCGCGAUCGAGAGCCGUUCGCGCGACCGAAGGACUCGGCCCUCAGGGGCCUCUCCGCGCCUUCCCACUCGGGAUCGGCCGCCCCCGUGCAGGGUCGCCGUCGUCCUCGCC